rnacentral:rRNA from 1 species
CCUACGGGAGGCAGCAGUGGGGAAUAUUGCACAAUGGGCGAAAGCCUGAUGCAGCAACGCCGCGUGAGGGACGACGGCCUUCGGGUUGUAAACCUCUUUUAGUAGGGAAGAAGCGAAAGUGACGGUACCUGCAGAAAAAGCACCGGCUAACUACGUGCCAGCAGCCGCGGUAAUACGUAGGGUGCAAGCGUUAUCCGGAAUUAUUGGGCGUAAAGAGCUCGUAGGCGGUUUGUCACGUCUGCUGUGAAAACUGGAGGCUCAACCUCCAGCCUGCAGUGGGUACGGGCAGACUAGAGUGCGGUAGGGGAGAUUGGAAUUCCUGGUGUAGCGGUGGAAUGCGCAGAUAUCAGGAGGAACACCGAUGGCGAAGGCAGAUCUCUGGGCCGUAACUGACGCUGAGGAGCGAAAGCAUGGGGAGCGAACAGGAUUAGAUACCCUGGUAGUCCAUGCCGUAAACGUUGGGAACUAGAUGUAGGGGCCAUUCCACGGCUUCUGUGUCGCAGCUAACGCAUUAAGUUCCCGCCUGGGGAGUACGGCCGCAAGGCUAAACGUCAAAGGAAUUGACGG